GAACAUGGUAGAAUGAUGAAAUCCUUGAAUGGUUUGGCUUGGAAGGGACCCUAAAGAUCAUCUGGUUCCACGCUGAGCAACUUCCCAGCAGAGCAGGUUGCUGCGGCCCCUGUCCAAGCUGGCCUUGGAUGCUCCUUGGCGUGGGGUAUGCACAGCCUCUCUGCACUGGUCCCUGUGUCAGGGACAAGCACCCUGAGAGGAAAGAACUUCUUCCCAUCAUGGAAUGGAUUCCAGCUCUUGCAGUUUCAUCUCAUUCCCCCUUGUUCUGUCACUUCAGUUCCUGACAAAGAGUCCUCUCCCACUUCCCUGUGGGUCAGGCUGUUCCUGCAGGGUCACACAUGAGGCUGAAGCUGCAGGCAGGAGAGAGAGAAGCCAAGCUGGCAGAGAGAGGAAAUGGGGAAAGUGACAUGAGAGAUGAGAGAAGAAGGAAAAUGUAGAGACAUGCAAGGCAUUGGGUUGGGUGGGCUGUGGGAUUCAUGCCUUUUAUUUGAGGCCAGGUUCUCUGGUGCACUCAAUGACUGUGUGAUUGGGGCGUGUCCACAGUGAGCCCGUGUGAGCGAGCUGCACUGCCAGAGGCCGGAGCACACUUGCUUCAUGUGCUGAUGCAUGAGGCCAGAGACGGGUCUUUGUGUGCAACUCCAAACACUGUGCAUUGCGAUGAAGAGGGUCCAGGGCCAGAGAGAAAAUGAGGCUGGGGACUGAGGGUUUUAUAUGGGGGGGAGAAGGGGCGACGCCAGGACCGGCAGGGGAGAAGAGAGGGAAGAACAUUCUCUGGAGAGUAGAUAUAAGGAAAAAAUGGCAGUUGAAGUGGGUGAUGGCAACAAAAGCUGCAGAUUGCAAGAGGCUGCAAGUGGCCAUGGGUGAGAGCCCUGCAUUCAGAGGGGUUUCUCUGUUUCACCUUGGUCCCCUUUGCCCUAAGGUAUUACAGUUGCAAUGAGAGGCCCCUGGGCAUCCACAACUGCCCCCUUUUUGUUUUCCAGAAUGAAGGCUUCUGCCAUGGACUUUUGCAAGCGUUGAGCAAAACUGGAUAGAAUAAGCAACACAAUGAAUACAAGAAACAAAGUCCACAAAACAGUCUUAAGUAAAGGUGAAAGCCGGCCUUUCAUGCCCCAGUCUUUCAAAAGUCCAGUGAGCCAGUCGUUGUUGCCUUUCGUCUGGAUCUUGUUUGUUUGAUCUUUGAGCAGCUGGACGCUCUGGUAUACUGAGUCCCUAUGUGAGAAGAGGUUGACAAGCGUGGCCAUGGGCAAGAAAUUGUGGCUUGGCUGUGGAAGCAGCCAGCUGAAGGCACGUGGCAUAGUGAGGAGCUUUGCUGCUUGUGGCUGCCUGCUGCAGCGGCAACAAAGGACAGCAUGCUUUGACUUUAGCUAAUUUAGUAGUUGGUGGAGGCUUGGGUGGCCUGAAAGUAAAAAGAUAAGGAGAUUGCAAAGUGAAACUUAAAUUCUGGUCCCACUAAACUUUCUCUUCUGUAAGGCAAGGGUUUGAACUCAGCUUAUUAGAAGAAUCAAAUAUAAAUGCUACAAUAUAGUUUUUCCAAAUGUUAAGUGAUAUACCCCGCUUAGUGGUGUCUGAGCUAUCUUGGUGUUGGCCUGUGUGGUCCACGCUGCUUAAGAGAUCUUCUUCUGUCCUUCUUCUUCUUCUUUUACAGGCUGCUGCUGUCUCUCUUAGGCUUUCAUUCUGUUUUUCUGAUGGUGGCUCUGGUGUUUGCCUGGCCAUUGGCAGAAGGGUUUGAUGUUUUUUGCUGGGAUCCAUCUUGGGCCUGCUGCUUUAGAGACACAAGCGUAUCCCCUCCCCCAGGUGGGACCCCACCUGCAGAGCUGGCCCGGCACAGGGAGGAGCUGCAGCUGCUGGAGCCAGGCCAGAGGAGGCUCCAGGAUGAGCAGAGGGAUGGAGCAGCUCUGCUGGCAGGAAAGCCUGGCACACCUGGGAAUGUUCACCUGGAGAGAAACUUUGGGGUGAUGUUACCUGAAGGAGCUGACGGGAAACAAGUAGAGACAAUUUCCAGGGGAUGGAGGGACAGGACACAGGGAAUGGCUUCCCAGUGCCAGAGGGCAGGGAUGGAUGGGAUAUUGGCAAAAGCCCAUAUUCCCCAUUUUUUACCACUUUUGGGAAUACCUGGUCCAGCAGGAGAGCUCCCUGACACAAGUGAGCGUUCCUUGGCUGCCAGCAGGCAGGACCCCCCCACACCACACAGGCAGCAGGCACCCAGCCCUGGGAAAGAGGAAAAUUGCUGGACACAACAUAAAUCCAUGGAGAAACCCCUGAUUAGUUUUGCAGGUGGGAUUUGCUCCUACAGAAACAACAGAACUCAGGCUUCAACCAGGAAAAACUUUUAUUCCCCAGUGAUUAGUAUUUUAACAAGUAUUCCCAUGUGCAGUACAAAAAAAGGGCAUUCAAAGCUCUGGAUAUUCAGGUGGCAGAAGGGCUCAUGGCUAAACUAACAGUGCCAGGGACAUUUAAGGAGUCUGGAUUAUUUCACAAAGUCAGGGUUUCCUAGAAGACUGCAAGGAAUCCAAAGGGAUCCAAAUCUCAUUUUAGAAAGCAAAUUACUCCUUUUGUUCCAGCUUUUGCAUUUAAAUACCAUUUUUGUCUGAAGCCCUGUCUGUCCCUCCCUGUGGAGGAUUUUGUGAACAGCUGGCUAGUUGACAAAGGUCACACUGAUAUAAUACCAUUAGUUAAGGAAGAAGGAGAUAGGUAUAGGAGCCAGCAGUCAGUGUCUAAAUCAGGCAAGGGCGCUGUGCCCUUGGUGCAACAUCAGGAUGGGGGAGAGGAUUGUUAGUUAGAAAUAUGAAGAAAAGAUGUGGACAGCUGCAACAUAGUAGUCACAAGAAUGAUAAGGUAGGCAUAGUUAGCUGAUAAGUAACUAACCAAUAAUGAGCUCGCCUUUUGCAAUAUGUACUAGCCUCAUUAACACCAAUAUAAAUGUAUGUGCCUAUCAAUAAAGUUUUGAGAUUUGC